UGGGGAAUAUUGCACAAUGGGCGCAAGCCUGAUGCAGCCAUGCCGCGUGUGUGAAGAAGGCCUUCGGGUUGUAAAGCACUUUCAGCGAGGAGGAAGGUGGUGAGCUUAAUACGCUCAUCAAUUGACGUUACUCGCAGAAGAAGCACCGGCUAACUCCGUGCCAGCAGCCGCGGUAAUACGGAGGGUGCAAGCGUUAAUCGGAAUUACUGGGCGUAAAGCGCACGCAGGCGGUUUGUUAAGUCAGAUGUGAAAUCCCCGGGCUCAACCUGGGAACUGCAUUUGAAACUGGCAAGCUAGAGUCUCGUAGAGGGGGGUAGAAUUCCAGGUGUAGCGGUGAAAUGCGUAGAGAUCUGGAGGAAUACCGGUGGCGAAGGCGGCCCCCUGGACGAAGACUGAGGCGCUCAGGUGCGAAAGCGCGGGGAGCAAACAGGAUUAGAUACCCUGGUAGUCCACGCUGUAAACGAUGUCGAUUUUGGAGGUUGUGCCCUUGGGGCGGUGGCUUCCGGAGCUAACGCGUUAAAUCGACCGCCUGGGGAGUACGGCCGCAAGGUUAAAACUCAAAUGAAUUG
rnacentral:rRNA from 1 species